rnacentral:rRNA from 1 species
CAAUAGCGUAUAUUUAAGUUGUUGCAGUUAAAAAGCUCGUAGUUGGAUUUCGGUUAAGAGCGACCGGUCCGCCGUUUGGUGUGCACUGGUUGGUUUUAACUUCCUGUAGAGGACGUGCUCUGGGUUUAACGACCUGGACUCGGAGUCUACGUGGUUACUUUGAAAAAAUUAGAGUGUUCAAAGCGGGCUUACGCUUGAAUAUUUCAGCAUGGAAUAACACUAUAGGACUCCUGUCCUAUUUCGUUGGUCUCGGGACGGGAGUAAUGAUUAAGAGGAACAGUUGGGGGCAUUGGUAUUUCAUUGUCAGAGGUGAAAUUCUUGGAUUUAUGAAAGACGAACUUCUGCAAAAGCAUUUGCCAAGGAUGUUUUCAUUAA